rnacentral:precursor_RNA from 12 species
AAAGGGCCAGUGUGGCACGGGGCGUCCCCGAGCUACAUCCCGUGGGGCUCCAGUCUGUGCGUGUAGCACCAUGGGAUUCAGCUCAGGGCGGCCGCGACUAACAUCUACUAACAUC